CCUAUAUUGAAAUAACUGAUGAUCAAAAUCACGUAAAACCUACAUCCUUUAACUUUAUACAAGAAUUUUGAUUGACAUUAAUAUUAUCAGUGAAGAAGAUGAAAGUAGUGACCCUUUUGCAUGUAGUGAUGAUGAAGAUAAAAAUUACGAGCCAAUUAAGGCUCCGCUACCUAUCUUCUAGCCACACAGCUGAGGGGCAGCGGUGAGAGGCGCGGUAGUAAUAAAUGUCUAUUUUAGAACGGUUGAUAAAAUUUUAGGCAUCCUCUUACGCCGAGAUCCGAUGUAAUUUCAGGGUUGGCCUACAUAAAUUUGGUGCAGGUUAUGCAAGUAUAAUUAUAUACCUGCAUUACUACCUAAUAUUGCUAUUAUAUAUGCAUUUUGGUUUUUUUUUUGUUUAGUGCGUGAUAGUUCCGGGAUGUAGCCGUGUGGUUUCGUUGCGAUCAUUUUUUGCAUUUUAUUUUGGUGGUUACAUACUAAAAAACUGAAAAGUGUUCCUGUGUUUUCACUAGUAUUUUUUUUGAAAUACUUGUAAAAUAUGGAUGCUAAAAGAAAAGGAUUUAAAGGCCGACUUAGGUUAAAUGCCGUUAGAAAACGUCCAGGUCCGAAAAAAGGACAGAUUGUAAGUAUAUAUGUAAUUACAAUGUUUUUUGUUUUCAUAAUUAUAAUUUUUAAUGUCCGUUAAAUUACCAUUGCUCUUUGGUAAGAUACCAUUGCUCUUUUAUAUCUAUAUUAUUAUAUAUUCUAAUUAUUUUUUAGAAGACUAUAGCAGUUGAUGCUAGUGAAGAAACAAUAACAGCAUUUCUUGGUAAAGAAAAUGAAAGUAUUGUACGAAAUACCCCUAAAACAGUUCAGAAUCAAAAUGAGGAAAAACCUGUUAAAUUAGAGGGAAGAAGAUUAGUGGAUAUUCAAUAUUUCUUGGAUUGUGUGAAAAAUCUAAACAACCACGAGCCAAAGUUUGCAAGGUGCACCUUAAGCAACAUGAAUGUCAUAAAAGAAGUUAGAAAUGGAUAUGUGUCAAUAUUUAAGGUCAAGUGUGAUAUGUGUAGAGGAACAUACGAUCUGCAAACGACAGCCACAAACCCGAAUCAAGAUGCUGUUCUGGGGGUGAUAAUGAUAGGGGCAGGUUACAGUGCUCUAGCGCAGCUUUCAACAUGCUUAGAAACUCCUUUUUCCAUCUCAACGGACAUAUCUAAUUCAGGAAGAUAUUCUUGGAGAAACUUUUGAAACAAUUUCUUUGAAAUCUAUGAGACGAGCUGGUGAGAUGGAAAAGAAUUUAGCUAUAGAAGCAGGUGAUCUCUCACCUGAUGGGGUUCCUAUAAUUACUGUCGUAGCGGAUGGGUCUUGAGCCAAAAGAUCAUAUAGAUCCAAUUACAAUUCUCUUUCAGGAGCUGCAGCAAUUAUAGGCUGUAGAACUAAACAGGUCCUUUUUAUUGGCAUAAAAAACAAAUAUUGUACAAUUUGCCAACUCUCAAAAAAUCAAGGACACAAUCAAAUGCCUAAAAGGCAUAAAUGCUUUAAAAACUUUGAAGGUUCUUCAACGAGCAUGGAAGGCGAUAUUUUAAAAGAAGGAUUUCUCCAUAGUUUAGAGCAACAUGGAUUAAUCUACCAUAAAUUAAUAGCUGACGGAGACAGCAAUUCUCUGAAAAAAAAUUUAGAUGCUCAUCCAUAUAAAAAUGACAUUGUGAAAAAAAAUUAGUGCAGAAAUUACCUUCUACGAAAUUACUCCCGGAAAAUUCGAGAUUUAGGUAAAGACGUCAAUGCUGGGCCAUUAGUUCUUCGGAAGCAAAUAAGCGUAAGUACUUACUAUUCGUAGAAAAAUUAUUUUAGGAAAAAUACUUAUGUUUCUGGUAAAGAAAAACAUAUUUGUAAAUUUAUAACGUUGUUUUUUUUUUGUAGAAAGAACAGCUAAGAUUACGAUAUGCAGUUACAAAAGUUAUCGAACAUAGAAAAAAUGAGGGUGUUCCGAUGUAAGAAAAAAUAAAGUUGUUAAAACAAGACAUAGACAAUUCUAUUAGCCGCGUUUUUGGAGAACACAAACUUUGUGCAGAAUUGGGAUAUUUCUGUCAUGAGCAAUAUAAACCCAGUGGUAGCAUAUUAUCAGACUUAAAAAUUACAGGUAGGUUUUAAAAGCCCAAAGUGUUAAGAAUUACGGUUUAUGACUGCCUUAUAAAUAUUUAUAAUUUUUUGUUGUUUCAGGCCGAUACGACAAAUUAUAUAGCUUUGUCAGCUAUCUUUCAAGAAAUAGCGUGAGUUUAAUACAAGAUGUUGACAAUAAUGUAUCGGAGCAAUUUAACUCAAUCAUUGCAAAAUUUAUUGGCGGAAAACGCAUUAAUUAUUGCCAACGAGGAUCAUAUCAGGCUCGCUGUUAAGCUUCUGUAAUUUCUCAUAAUACUAAAAAGCCUAUAUACACGAUUAAAAAAUUCCUUAAUCAUAAAAGCCCGAUUGGCUUAGUUAAAUACAGGGAAUUAAAGAAAAAAUAUAUUAAACGGAAAAGAUUAUUCCAAACCAAAGAGAAGUCUGGACUUGAUAGCAGUUACGGUGAUCAAUGUCAAAAGCCUGAUCUAACACCUGAGGAGUUGCAAAAAGAUAAAGAAGAUUUUCUAGCUAGUAUUAAAAAAAAUGCAGAAGAAAUCAAAUUAAUUGAAGAGCUCACAAAGGAACAGAGCCAAUCUGAUUUGUGGCACUUAGAGCGAAGAAAGCGUCUUACGGCAUCAAAUUACUACGCAAUUUGCUCUAAAUUUAGUGCCAGAAGCAACGGCGAUACAAAAAAGCUCGUGGAACAACUUCUGUACCCAAAAACAAUUAAUUCUGCUAGCAUUGAGUGGAGCAAACAAAAUGAAAAACAGGCAAUCAAUGUUAUAGAAACAUUAAUUGAUGAGAAGAUAUUACCAUGUGGCUUAUUUGUAAGCGAAAAUAUUUCAUUCUUGGCAGCGACUCCCGAUGGCCUUAUUGGGAAGAAGGGGAUUGUUGAAAUCAAAUGCCCCUUUAGUGCUAAAAAUCUCACCCCUGAAGAUGCGAUAAUGCAAAGAAAAAUAUAAUUUUGGAAGAAAAACGGAGAAAUUAAUAAGAACCACAAAUGGUUUUACCAAAUACAAGGCCAAUUGUUGGUAACUGGGAGAUCCUACUGCUGCUUUGCAGUUUGGACACCUUUGGGCAUUAAGAAGGAAAUUAUUUUAAAAAACGAUGUAUUCUGCGAAAACAUGAAAAAGAAAUUAACUAUAUUCUAUUCGAUAUGUUAUUUACCUGAUCUUGUAGAUCCUCGCAAAAAUAGAAAUAUGCAUGUUAAAAAUAUUUCCCUAAAAGAAUAUACGAUUGUAUAAGUUUUUUUUAUAUGUAGCCAACUUUGUAUAUUUUGUAAUAAAUGUCUUGUUUUGUUUGAUUUAUGUGUUAUUGGUCUUUAUUUUUUUA